GAGAACCAGUCCUUGAGGAGGCAGAAGGAAGACUUUAUACUUACUCAGCAAUGACGUACUGCCACUGGGAAAUAUGGUAGCAUGCUAACAGGAUUUUUUUGAGGUUUUUUGUUGCCUUUUUUUUCCUAGUUAGAGAAAUUUCCCUUGAAACAGGAAGAAGAAGCUUGGUAGCAGAGAGAAUACUCUCAGCUUUGGCAGGCAUCACCUGUCAGGCCGAUCAGACGAUGGACUUGUGGUCAUUACUCAACAGACCAGGCUCCUGGAAGACAGAAAGUAAUAUGCAGAUACUGUGCACCAGGUGAACUAGGAUUACAGAUUGGACAUUCAGAGCAUCUCGUGCAUGUUGGAGGAAUUUCUUGAUGUUGGCAACAAGCUGAUAGAGUGGCAAUCCCCCACAAGCAGUGCAGCAGAGAAGAAAAGAGAAGAUUUUGGACUUGCCAUCCUUACAGAAUAUUUCUGCCAACUCAGGCAAUACCAAAAAAGCACAUAUUAGAGACAGCAGAAUAACCAGUGAUGCACUAAUUCUCUGUAGGGAAUACUGAGAUAGCUACCAAUAAUGAAAACUAGCAAUUACACAAACUCAAAACCUAACCUAACAAGUGGGGAAUGUGAGCUACAAAUAGAUGCUCACUGAUCCUCAUUCUUACAAAUCCAUCAGCCCACAGGACACCUUGCAAAACAGGAGCAUCUUUCUUCCCCAACAUGAGCCUCUGGGAGCACAUGGAUCCCUUUCCUGUACUGUAACAUAUUUUUUAGAGAACAGCAGGUUAAGCUGAGGGUCUUGGCUGUACCUUCAAGAGGCUCAGUGAACUUAGGCCAACUCAUCCAAGAAUCAGCUGGUGAAGGGUAAAGGUUGGAAUCAAAACUUCAUUCCUGUGGCAUAAUGAGAGAAACAUCCAUAGCACAAAACCUUUUCUAGGCAGGAGAGAAAAGCAGGCCUCUCAGAAACCUGCUGGAUGCUGUCAAAAUGAUCAUCUUUGGUGUUAGGGACUAUGGCAAAUUGCACUCUUGUUUCUGCAUUGAGUAUGUUUUCUGACCUUGUCUUCUUCAUAUAUAGCAAAGGAUGGACUCAGUACAGAUAUCUGUGUCUGCUACUGAACUGGUCACCCUUCUAGUCAACAGAGAGAGUGGUCAAUGAAAUCUUAAGGUAAAAUUCGUGUACAGGUACUCUACACAGGUAGGACAACUUGUGUCCCUGAAAUGCAUCCUUUUUUUCACAGCCCAGCACAGGAACCUUGGCUUACUAUCUCUCAUGUAAGUACCUAUGUUGUAAGCCCGAACUAGGUUAUAUGAAUCCCACCCAAAAUAGCAUUCAUCUUAGAAAAUGAAAAGCCAAGCAGUCAAACAAAAAUUUGAGCAGGGCAUCAUGACUGAAAGAGACUUCUCCCACCAGAUGGUUUCUUCCUGGGAAGACGAAGAGGAUGAACCAUGCACAAGGGUAUUAAUUUGCUUUGACUAACAUAUAAUUAGGACGUGAAGAGAUGCACUACAGGUGCAAGGCAGUAUAAGAGCCUGUGUGAGAUCAGCAUACAGUAGACCAAAGUUGAUUUAACUAGAGAGUGGGUUGCACACAAUUACAUUGUUGAAAGACUGAUACAUACAGUUACUGUUUAAUGAUAAUGGUGGAUGAAGAAUAUUUAGAAAUACAAUGCAAUGGGGAAAAUGCAUCAUAUUUCUAAAAAGGAAAUCCAGGUGAAUCUUUGUAUUAUUUUAAAACUAAAUGCAUAGCCUAGU